UUUGAACCAAAAUUUAAGAUUAGGGUUUUCCCCCUACGUUCUCACCUAUAUAUAAGUUAACAUCAUUUGGAAAAUCAUUUCACGGCCGUUCUUCCAUCAUCUCAGAUCUUACCGCUCCAAUUCAGUAUGCAGUUUUCUGACCUGAUCGGAGGUCCAAUAACUGACCAGAUCGAGUGUCCAUGUAUGGGAAUGGAUCAUAGCAUGUUGACAGUUCAUAGGAGCGCAUCUAUCUUUCUAUCAGUCAUGCUUUUUGGAUGAUGGUCGAGAUUGAAUACCAUAAAAGCCAGCUUUUUCGGCGGCCUUUAAGAUAGUUGGCGGAUUGUAAGGGAAAGAAUGAAUUAUUUAGGCAUGAUGUACCGGGGGCUUUCCCCGCCACCGGUUUUGUAAGUAGCCCAUUGGGUAAUGCUUUAGACUUGUAUAUAUAUUGCAUACUUCUUACCAUUCUGGUCAUUAGCCGUGUUUGUGUUUGUUGAAUACUAACAGCAACUUGAUAGAGGGUGGUGGUUCAGUUUUCAAUUUGUUUUCCUAAUGGCAAAUACUGCUCAAUCUG
rnacentral:lncRNA from 1 species